AUAUAUUCACCUCUUCGCCUGACUAGGCUACUUUGAAAAUGGAGAAGAUAAUAUUUAUUGGAAUUAAACAACCAUAAAAACUUGUUUAGAUCUGAGCAUACGGCACGCAGUAUAAGGUCUGAGGAAUAUGGGCCUUUACAUCAUUGUUUUGCGGAGCUAUCUAAAUUUCUUAUCGUCUACAGUAACUUUUGCUUUCCAUACUUCAGUUUUAGGGAUUCGUGAUUUCAUUCUAAUGUUGAUAGAAGUAUUCCAAUGAAUCCACUGAAGGCAGACUACCAUGAACAAGUAAAGAUCAACCCAGAAAAAUUCACAUCAGUUGGUCUAUGGGCUGUUUUCUCUGAUAGUGCUCUGAAAAAGCUUGAAAGAAAUUUUGCAGUAAUCCAGUUUCUGAUUGGCACGGGUCAAAAUUCCCACCAAAAUCAUAAAUGGAAAUACUUGUCUAGUGGUUUGUUCACUUUUGAGCAUGUUAUAUCUUGUCAGGAGUCUAGAAAGCAUCAUAGAUGGAAAUUAUCAAUGUUGUCUAGCAGUUGAUCAUCGGCGAGGAUUGAUGUUAUAUCCUGUCAAGAUUACACAAAGUUGAUCAUCGGUGAGAUGCUAUAUCCUGUCAAGAGUAUGGAAAGCAAGGAAAGAUGCUGAGUUGACAAGCUUUGAAGCGACAAGUUUAGAAGAAUCCUCAAUUACAUUGUAGCUUGCAAGCGGUCUCAGGCCAAUGGAGCGUUGUGCAACAUGGACGUCUAUGCUGAAGUUUUAGUCAAAUGGCCAAGUGGAGUUGGAAGCGUACUGAGAGUACGCCUCUGCCUCGGAAACAUCGGAUGCAUCCCGCUUCCCAUUUUCACGAUCCCGACUGCCUACCACUCAGUACCUCAUGGCGAGUGUGUCACACGCGCCGCCGCAAAUUGUUUGACCCAGGGCAUGUACCCGACGACGAUCGAUUUCUUUACAUCCGCAAGUUGUCGGAGGUCAAAUUGACAAGCCCGCGACUGCAAACUCUGCGGCGGGAUUCUUUCUUACACUCUGCAGCGAAUGCUCUUAUUGCCGUAGCCAUAACUGCUGCAAUGAAGUCGUUUUUCGUACGGCGGCUGUUGGCCCGUGAUAAACCUUCCGUUGCUGCUUUCUAGACACUGCCUUGGCUGGCCGCCAUGACCUAAGGUUUCCCGCAGUGAACUCGUUCGCCAUUCCGGCGAGCAAAUCCGUUUUCCAUGGUCAUAAAUUCGAGGUUUUGCCUUUACUUCUGAGAUUCCAGUGACAGAAACCGUGAACAGUAAUGGCAGAUUCUGCAUCGCAAUUUGCAAGAGAGAUAUCCAUGGAAACUGAAACUAUUUUGAUGCGCUGAGGUGGACGUGCGAUGGAGCAUAGAAAAAGAAGAGAAUAGAUUCAGUGCAGACGUAGAAGGAGGAUGGAUUGGGAAACGACAGCAGCAAACGCCAUUAGUGGCUGAGAAUGAGAAGCGGACGCAGCUCGCGAAAUCUGCAUCUCGGUUGUACGGUUUGAAGACUCAAUUUCUAAUGAUUCUCCAACUUUGGUGAACCGUAGACUUCAGAACGGGCACAAAGGAGAGAAUCGAUCCUUCAGAUUAGAUGCAAUGACCUAAUCGGUCACUGGAAAGAGCUCCUUGCCAUCGUGGAUUUCCUCCGUGGAAGGUAAAUAUUCCCUAUUCAAGAAUUUCUUCAGGAGGAUUCGUUUUUAAGAUUGCAUAUGAUGUGAUAUUAAUAAGUUGAUAUCAUAUGCAGUCUUUUCACAAAAAGAAAAAAAAAUCGCAUAUGAUGUCAAUUUAUUAAUUUAAAGAUUUAAAUA